rnacentral:tRNA from 1 species
UCUUAGGUGACUGAGUUAGAUAAGUGUUAGAUUUUUAAUCUAAAAACAGCAAAUUUUGCUCCUGAGAG